rfam:Myotis davidii contig72873, whole genome shotgun sequence.
CCAAAGGCUCUUUUCAGAGCCACCCACAACUUCAAUUAGAAGUGCU